GCCGGUCCAGGGAAAGGGAGAGGGGAACAGGUGCAAGGUUUGUGGAGGGCAGCAAACUGCACUCCACGUGCCGCGAGGCUGCGCCUGCGAAGACCGGCGUUCUGAUGCCUGGCGCCAGCUGCCAGAAGAAAGAAAAAUUCGAACAAAGAGACCGCUCUGAGGUAAAAUGUGCUCCACUGGAGCCUCUUAUGAAGAUCCCUCACUGCCU
rnacentral:lncRNA from 1 species